UAAGGAAUAUUGGACAAUGGGCGCAAGCCUGAUCCAGCCAUGCCGCGUGAAGGAUGAAGGCCCUAUGGGUUGUAAACUUCUUUUGGUAGGGAAAAAACCCCUCGAUGCGUCGGGGGCUGAUGGUACCUACAGAAUAAGGAUCGGCUAACUCCGUGCCAGCAGCCGCGGUAAUACGGAGGAUCCAAGCGUUAUCCGGAUUUAUUGGGUUUAAAGGGUGCGUAGGCGGAUAAAUAAGUCAGUGGUGAAAGCCUGCAGCUUAACUGCAGAACUGCCAUUGAUACUGUUUAUCUUGAAUAUAGUUGAGGUGGGCGGAAUAUGACAUGUAGUGGUGAAAUACUUAGAUAUGUCAUAGAACACCGAUUGCGAAGGCAGCUCACUAAGCUAUGAUUGACGCUGAGGCACGAAAGCGUGGGUAGCAAACAGG
rnacentral:rRNA from 1 species